GCAUAUCAAUAAGCGGAGGAAAAGAAACCAACAGGGAUUGCCCAGUAACGGCGAGUGAAGCGGCAACAGCUCAAAUUUGAAAUCUGGCCCUCGGGUCCGAGUUGUAAUUUGUAGAGGAUGCUUUUGGUGCGGUGCCUUCCGAGUUCCCUGGAACGGGACGCCAUAGAGGGUGAGAGCCCCGUCUGGUUGGACACCAAGCCUCUGUAAAGCUCCUUCGACGAGUCGAGUAGUUUGGGAAUGCUGCUCUAAAUGGGAGGUAUAUGUCUUCUAAAGCUAAAUACCGGCCAGAGACCGAUAGCGCACAAGUAGAGUGAUCGAAAGAUGAAAAGCACUUUGAAAAGAGGGUUAAAUAGUACGUGAAAUUGUUGAAAGGGAAGCGCUUGUGACCAGACUUGAGCCCGGUUAAUCAUCCAGCCUUCUGGCUGGUGCACUUGGCCGGCUCAGGCCAGCAUCAGUUCGGCGCGGGGGAUAAAGGCUUCGGGAAUGUGGCUCCUCCGGGAGUGUUAUAGCCCGCUGCGCAAUACCCUGCGCUGGACUGAGGUUCGCGCAUCUGCAAGGAUGCUGGCGUAAUGGUCAUCAGCGACCCGUCUUGAAACACGGACCAAGGAGUCGUCUUCGUAUGCGAGUGUUCGGGUGUCAAACCCCUACGCGUAAUGAAAGUGAACGCAGGUGAGAGCUUCGGCGCAUCAUCGACCGAUCCUGAUGUUCUCGGACGGAUUUGAGUAAGAGCAUACGGGGCCGGACCCGAAAGAAGGUGAACUAUGCCUGUAUAGGGUGAAGCCAGAGGAAACUCUGGUGGAGGCUCGCAGCGGUUCUGACGUGCAAAUCGAUCGUCAAAUAUGGGCAUGGGGGGCGAAAGACUAAUCGAACCUUCUAGUAGCUGGUUUCCGCCGAA
rnacentral:rRNA from 1 species